AUGACUAAUAUAUAUAGGAGGCUUGAUUCUUGUUUAGUUAUUCCUCCACCAAAAGGAAAGAAGCCUAAAGCAAUCAUUAAAUUUCUUGGUGGUGCUUUUAUUGGAGCAGUUCCUGAAGUUACUUAUAGCUAUCUUUUAGGGCUAUUAGCAAAUGAAGGGUAUCUUAUUAUAUCUGUGCCAUAUAAUGUGACUUUUGAUCACUCAAAAGCUGCUACAGAAGUUUAUGACAAGUUUCAUUUGUGUUUGGAUUCGAUUUUAACAUCUGGAUUGCCUAAUGAUGACGUGUCAUCAGCUCAACUUGUUGAUCUUCCUCUUUAUUCUGUUGGUCAUAGCAAUGUAGCCCUACUCCAAGUACUCUCUGGAAGCUAUUUCUCUGAGAGGAUACCAAGGGCUAAUGCCAUAAUAUCAUACAACAACAGGCCAGCAACAGAGGCAGUACCUUACUUCGAGCAGUUGGGCCCUCUGGUAAGCCAAUUGAUGCCUGUUGUGGAAGCAUCCCCUGUAUCUUCCAUGGCUAAGGGCGCUACAGGUAAUUUUUUUAUAUUUGUUUAUACUAUUUUGGUAAUCAUAUUUGGUUAUAACUUAUAAAUAAUUAUAAAUCUUUGUUUCUAAUUUUGUUUCUAACUUUUAAGAGGUGUGAUAAGGGGGUCUGGUAGAGGGGUGGUGAAAUCAGAUACUACAUAUGUGGGGUCAGGGUCAGGGUCAAAUAAUGUUGCAUCAACAACUACAAGUAUGGAAGUAUGAAAUUCAAUGGAAUUGUAUGAGGAACCAAAGGAGGGGCAGGGAGGCUGCCUCGCUAACAAAUAUAUACAAGAAAAUCUUAAUGAUUAAUCUCUCUGAUACAAGAUAUGCUUGGGUUUGGAAUGUUGGCCUUAUAUAGGGGUAUUUGUGUCUUUAUGCUGAAAAUAACACAACAGGGGACAAAAGUUGAAUAGCACAGUGGGUAGAGUUAAAAGAGAAAUGGGACAAGAAAGUAAAAAACACAGAACAGGGGCAGAAAGCUGCAAAUUUCUUAUUGAUAAACUGGAAGAAGAAAAAGAGGAUACCAACUCCUCGUACAUACUUGACUAUUUAAACAAAACUUUGCAUAAAAAUAGCAACUGCUAGCUAGAGACCAGGGGACACUAACCCACAUGAUCUUGACUUAUUCUUUUCUACUAAGAGCUAAAGAAAUUAAAUAAAAAUGUGCAUAAGCCAAAACAUGACCAGGGGAUACUAGUAUUAUUAUUGAUUGUUUAUUAUGUAUUGACUGUUUAUUUAUUUAUUUAAUAUAAUGGAUGGGCUUGUUGUAAAAGAUGGAGAUUCGGGUAUGAAAAGAGAGAGUCUUGUAAUCCAAAAAGAAACAGCCCUAGCCCAUAUAUACAGGGGCAGCAAUGCAGUUACACAGACCCUUUUGAACUUUGUGAGGCUGUUUAGAAAAGCUCAUGAAGAAAACUAUAAACAUGCUAAACUAGAUAAGAAGAAAGCUCAGAAAGAGGUUGAAAUGGAGAGGGCAAAGGGUAUUAACUUAACAAAACGCAAAGCAUGUUGAUACCCACACACCCAGAAAGAAAGUCAAAGGGUGUUUGUUGACCAAAGGAACCUGAAAAGGGUAUGGUUGUCCAUGCACAUACACAUACAC